rnacentral:rRNA from 1 species
GAUGAACGCUGGCGGCGUGCCUAAUACAUGCAAGUAGAACGCUGAAGGCGGAGCUUGCUCUUCUGGGUGAGUUGCGAACGGGAGUGUAACGCGUAGGUAACCUGCCUGAUAGCGGGGGAAGACUAUGGGAAACGAUCGCUAAUACCGCAUGACAACAGUUCUUGCAUGAUAACUGUUUAAAAGUGGCAACUGCUUCACUACAAGAUGGACCUGCGUUGUAUUAGCUUGGUGGAGAGGUAACGGCGGACAAAGGCGACGAUACAUAGCCGACGUGCGAGGGUGGUCAGCCAGACUGGGACUGUGACACGGCACAGACGCCUACGGGAGGCAGCAGUAGGGAAUCUGCGGCAAUGGGCGGAAGUCUGACCGAGCAACGCCGCGGGAGGGAAGAAGGUUUUCGGAUCGUAAAGCUCGGUUGUAAGAGAAGAACGAGUGUGAGAGUGGAAAGUACACACUGUGACGGUAUCUUACCAGAAAGGGACGGCUAACUACGUG